GUUUUUGAGUAACACAGUGAAAAGAGGUGGGGUGUAUAUAACUGUGGCAAAACACGCUGAAGUCCAAUCUCCAAUACUUCUUUCAUAGGAAUUCAAAAUGGUCUCCAGCAUCAGCCAUUGAAUUGCACUCCUGCACCUGGGCAUCAUGAUCCUGAACGUUACCACCAACUCAACAGAGAUUUAGAAAGGACAGAUUGCAAUUUUUGUAUAGACCAGAAAUACCCAGGCUGAGACUUGAAGAAAAUCAAAUCAAGCACUGCAGUUUUAGCAGCUUGAUUCAUAGUACCAUUUAUUCAACAGAAUGAUCAGGCGCCGCUAUACAAUACAGCAACCUUGUUGCUUCAGUCUUCUCUGAGAACCUCUCUCACCACACCUCUUGAGUGGAUGGACCACAAAGCAGACUCUGGGGGAGAAAGUCGCUCCCACUAUAAGACUUCAGGCUUGUGACCACCUGAGGAACCUGAACACACAGAAGUCCGUGGUAUAUGACAGGAUGCAUCCCAGAGUCCUGAGGGAAUUUGUUGAUGCAGUUGCCAAGCCACUCUCCAUGAUAUUUGAAAAGUCAUGUCAGUCAGGUGAAGCACCCAGUGACUGGAAAAAGGGAAACAUUGCACCCAUUGUUAAAAAGGGUAGAAAGGAGAACCCUAGGAAGCACUGAACUGUCAGCCUCAUCUCUGUGCCUGGGACUAUCAUGGAACAGAUCCUCCUAAAAGCUAUGCUAAGGCACAUGGCGGACAGCAAGGUGAUUCGAGACAGCCAGCAUAGCUUCACCGAGAGCAAGUAACUGGCUGACUAACCUAGUGGUCCUUUAUGAUGGGGUGACCACACUGAUGGACAUGGGACAAGCUACGGAUGUCGUCUAUCUGGUUUUCUGUAAGGCCUUUGACAUGGUUCCCCACAACAGCCUUCUCUCUAAACUGGAGAGAUAUGGAUUUGAUGGGUGGACUGUUCAGUGGAUGAAGAACUGGUUGGAUGGUCUCAUCCAGUGGGUAGUGGUCAAUGGCUUAAUGUCCAGAUGGAAUUGGUGACCAGAGUCAUUGAUCAGUGCUGUUCAAGAUCUUCAUCAAUGACAUAGACAGUGGGAUCAAGUACAUCCCCAGCAAGUUUGUAGACAAUACCAAGCUGAGUGGUGCACUUGACAUGCCUGAGGGGUGGGAUGUCAUCCAGAGGGACCUGGACAAGUUUGAGAAGUGGGCCUGUGUGAGCCUCAUGAGAUCCAACAAGGGCAAGUACAAGAUCCUGCAACUGGUUUGGGGCAACCCCUGGUAUCAAUACAGGCAAGCAGAUGAAGGCAUUGAGAAUAGCCUUGCCGAGAAGGACGUGGGGGUAGUGGUGGAUGGAAAGCUGGACAUGAGCCAACAAUGUGCACUUGCAGCCUAGAAGGCCAACUGCAUCCUGAGGUGCAUCAAAAGAACUGUGUCCAACAGGUUGAGGGAGAUGAUUCUACCCCUCUUACUCAGUUCUUGUGAGAUGCCACCUUGAGUACUGCUUUCAGCUCUGGGGUUCCCAACAUAAGAAGGACAUGGACCUGUUGGAGUUGGUCCAGAAGAGGGCCAUGAAGAUGAUCAGAGGGAUG